ensembl:rRNA 5S_rRNA 5S ribosomal RNA
GUUGGUUUCUGAGACUGAAUACACCCGAUCUCGUCUGAUCUGCAAAGCUAAGCAGGGUUGGGCCUGGUUAGUAUUUGGAUGGGAGACUACCUGGGAAUACCAGGUGCUGUAAGCU